AAACAAGUUCGCAGUGCCUCACCCCUCGAGGAGUUAAAAAAUGCCACAACAUGGGGUGAGAGUAUGUUGUAAUCAGAUGGGUUGUCCUAGAUGGGUUGUACUUAUAGACCUAUAUAAGGUUUUCCUACAGGAAGAAAUCCAGUCUGUACAAUCCUGCACAGAGAGAAGGCUGAUAAUGUCAUAUGUUUAAUACAUUAAGACAUUUCUGAAGGUCAGUAGAUUUCAAUUUGAUCCUUUCAAAUAGGAUACGUGUUUAUACAUUGUGCAUAGACUGUACAAUAACAAAGCAAUGUGGUUAAAGCAUGUGAUGUGGUUUGGCUUAAAAAAAAGAAAGAUUGCUAGAGCAAUGUGAGAAGCAGGCUAGCUUUAUACAGUAUAUAGCCUAUUUAAAUAGGGAGCAUCAAGUGAAAAAGAAAAGUAUUUCAUCAUGCAUCACAUUGUUUCUAAACACUCCAGAACAGGUGGGAUGGAGUUUAUGCCUUCCAGAGUCAAGAUAGGGAGAGAUAUACAGAAGAAUUUUAUCAAUCUACUGACAACUUGUAUUCAUGGUAGUGAAGUACAAGAAUGUGUCUAUCACUGAGGCAUCACUGUGCAGUAGUCAAAGAAACAUGAUUAGCUCCAUGUCCCAAACUCUAAGAUUGUGUCGCGGCUCAGGCCAAGACCCAAGUGCAGACAGCAGAGUCAGGUAUAAUAGGUAACAGUAUUUUAUUCAUCCAAAAUCGUCAGGCUGACUCAGGUGAUAGACAGGCAAGGUUUGGUAAACAGUGGAUUCUUGAUAAGGCACAGACAGACGGCAGGCUGAAUCAAGUACCUGACAGGCAGGGUUUGGUACAUGGGUAAUCUAAAUAUAGACACUGGGAACACUCCCAGUAUCCACUUCGUUUUUCCUUCUUGUAUAAAGGAACUUGAAAGAACUAGGACAUGAGUUUCUCAGGGGAGAGAGUUGAGGGGGCCACUGCUUCUAAAACGUGUCUCUCUGUGAAACAUGACACGGACACCAAAGCUAAAAGAAUCAGGCAGCAAGAACCACCCUCACAAUUGCCCAGCUGUGUGUCCCUAAAGAGCGACAGCUCAAAUCAGCCAAGGAGACAAGCUUCAGAAGUAGCCAGCCAUGUGCCCUUAAAGAGAGACCGUUCAUUGGAAUAUAUUGUCGAUUUCAGAGAUGGAGACAAGCCUUCCCAUGAGAAAGGGAGGAAGAGUCAGACCAGAGUCAUCUUGAGGACUUAUCCACUGUAUUCACAGUAUGUAAUUCGGUAGUUCUGAUCUCAAUAGGACAUUUUAAACAGUAUUAUAUAUUUUUUUACUGUUUGACUUCACCUGAUAUCUUUGCUCUCUAAGUUGCUUGAGGAGAUGGUCAUCACUUUUGGGAAGAAUGAGCUGAAGAGGUUCAGGAGGAUUCUGAGUUCGAUCUCCCAGAGGGCUUUGAGAGUCGGAGAGAGGACCAGGAAGAGGUGUACCCUGGAUACCAGAAGCAGGAGGGCAGUAACUAGAGGAGGAGCUCUGAAGAUCACUCUGCAUGUUCUCAGGAACAUGAAGCGGAAGGAGCUUGCUGACACACUGGAGAAAAAUGAGCUUGCUAGGAUCUAGGUCAACGCAAACUCAAAUCUGAACUGAAGAAGAAGUUUCAAACUGUGUUUGAGGGAAAAGCUAAGCAAGGAAACCCAACACUUCUCAAUAAGAUCGACACAGAGCUCUACAUCACAGAGGGUGAGAGUGGAGAGGUCAAUAAAGAACAUGAGGGGAGACAGAUUAAGAUGGCAUCCAGGAAAACAGAACAACCAGAAAGCGCCAUCACAUGCAACAACAUCUUUAAGCCCCCCACUAGGCCAGACAAGCCUAUCAGAACUGUUUUGACAAAAGGGCUGGCUGGCAUUGAGAAAACUGUCUCUGUGCAUAAGUUCCUUCUGGACUGGUCUGAGGGGAAAAGCCAAUCAGGAAAUUCAGUUCAUCUCUCCACUCCCAUUUCGAGCUUAAUUCGAUGGAAGGAGAAGACCUUAGCUUAAUGGAACUUCUCCAUCACUUAUCGGCAGAAACCCGAGACUUAGGGUCUCCAACUUCAAUGAUAACCGCAUUCUGUUUGACUUUGAUGGUCUGGAUGAGUGCCAACUGCCCGAUAGCCUUCAAAAAGAACAAGAGCUGGAGCAGUGUUGCAGAGCCCACCUCGUGGAUGUGCUGCUGACAAACCUCAUCAACGGGAACCUCCUCCCCUCUCUUGAGGUCUUACUGACACCACCUGCCAAAUGAACCUGUCUGUGCUGACUCACUCUGCAUGUAGUUAUAAUACAGAUUAGUUUUCUUCAGUUUGUCAGCGUGUUUGAUCACAGAGAGAGGCUGUGCUUCUCUGGCCUCAGCUCUGAGUUCAAAUCCCUCCCACCUGAAGGAACUUGACCUGAGCUAUAACCACCCACGACACUCAGGGUUGAAGCUGCUUUCUGUCGGACU